GGUACGGUUACUACUCGUCGACAGAGGAGACGCUGGGCGGUAUGCUUAACACAUGCAAGUCGAACGAGCAUAGUAAUAUGUUAGUGGCGGACGGGUGAGUAACGCGCGAGCAAUCUGCCCCUGUCUGGGGAAUAACAGGGAGAAAUUCCUGCUAAUACCGCAUGACGUCCGUUGGAGGCAUCUCCGGCGGACCAAAGAUUUAUCGGACAGGGAUGAGCUCACGUCCUAUUAGGUAGUUGGUGGGGCAACGGCCACCAAGCCGACGAUAGGUAGCCGACCUGAGAGGGUGAUCGGCCACAUUGGGAUUGAGAACGGCCCAGACUCCUACGGGAGGCAGCAGUGGGGAAUAUUGGUCAAUGGAGGGAACUCUGAACCAAGCAAUACCGCGUGAAUGAUGAAGGUCUUCGGAUUGUAAAGUUCUGUGAUGGGGGACGAAGAAAGUGACGGUACCCCAAGAGCAAGCUACGGCUAACUACGUGCCAGCCGCGGC
rnacentral:rRNA from 1 species